rnacentral:rRNA from 1 species
GUGGGGAAUUUUGGACAAUGGGCGCAAGCCUGAUCCAGCAAUGCCGCGUGUGUGAAGAAGGCCUUCGGGUUGUAAAGCACUUUUGUCCGGAAAGAAAUGGCCUGGGUUAAUACCCCGGGUCGAUGACGGUACCGGAAGAAUAAGCACCGGCUAACUACGUGCCAGCAGCCGCGGUAAUACGUAGGGUGCGAGCGUUAAUCGGAAUUACUGGGCGUAAAGCGUGCGCAGGCGGCGAUGCAAGGCAGAUGUGAAAUCCCCGGGCUCAAGCUGUGAACUGCAUUUGGGACUGAAUGGCUAGAGUGCGUAAGAAGAGGGUGGAAUUCCGCGUGUAGCAGUGAAAUGCGUAGAGAUGCGGAGGAACACCGAUGGCGAAGGCAGCCCCCUGGGAUGACACUGACGCUCAUGCACGAAAGCGUGGGGAGCAAACAGGAUUAGAUACCCGAGUAGUCC